GAGCCGCGGCUGUGCUGUAUGCAGCCAUGCAGAAUGUGUGGAGGCUUGAGGACAAUUUACAGAGUGACAAGAAGUGCAAGAAGUCUCAGAUGAGGCUAGAUGGUGCCAUCGGUUUAGUCCUGCAGGAUUCCGGCUGCUGAGCAUGGUUCAAGGCCCACAGAGGAGGGACUCGGUGGGUACCAACUCCGGAAGGUUCUCAGUCACUACCAGCUUCCUGUCAAUUGAAAGGAGCUGCCUUUAGCAAUGUUUCCUACCCACAAGACUGUGCUUUAUCCUAUGACCCCUGACCCCUUCACCACAAUUUCCUGGACCAGGACUUACUGAAGAAUUGCUGGGCUGCUUGCCGCCAAGCCCAGUUUCUGAAAGAGAAGAGUCAUGCUGGCUGGCGGCUCUACAUCAGCUCCACAGGACAUGGAUUCUGGGGGAAGGCAUCGCUUGACCAACAGAAACUCUCAGGACAGGAUCCCCAGGGACAAGAAUUCCUCAUCCAUCUGUUGCUCCUUUAAGGCUCCCAUGUGUGAACAGGUUCUUUCCGGCUGGUACCGAGCUUUCAGGAGGCUGUGGGACCUUUAAGGCUCCAGUUGGAAGAGGGCCAGGAGGGAAGGAUGAACCAGACAUGACCCUACCCAUCAGGCAGCUCAGCGUUGGGGACACCCACAGCGUAAUCAUCACUCAAGCAGCAGCAACAGCAGCCGGAGACCACAGCAGGCAGCUACACAGUGGGCAGCACGGUUCUGGAUGUCCGUGCCAGUUGACGGAGGCCCUUGGUGCCUUACAUAGCAGAUGUCCCCACGACACUGGCUCCUGCUGCCCAUUAGAGACUGUGAGUCCUGGUCCUUGUGUCUGGCUGUGGCCUGAUGCCAGUGCC
rnacentral:sRNA from 1 species